AAAAUAAAUCUGGCACAACACAAACUGCUGUUUAACACUCUUGAGCAUGAAACAUGCACACAAGUGAUGCAUGUUUUAUCAUUUUACAGAAUGAAGAUUUGCACAAGUAUGAUACAAAAUGUAGUCUUUCCUUUAAUAGUGUUCACCAAGCACAGACCACCACAUCAGCCAAAGCUCACUGUCAGAGAUGCACAUUUGCUACCCCUAUCCCAUUUCUUCAGAAGAAAAAUACCAUGCUUGAAUCACUCUUCCACCUUCACAUUACAUUUUUCACAGGAGAAAAAGCUCAGCAAAAAUUACUGCCAAAUUAUGAGUUCUGAUCAAGAUGCAAAUGGAGCAAAAAAGAUUGUUCCUCCGGGCCAUGAAGAGUUAAGAGAAAGACAGUCUUGGAAAAACCACCACAGAUGAGCAGAGCAUGUAAGAAAUGCUGCACAGGAUGGAUACAGCAGUCUGGAGAACAAAGAGACCUGAAGGCUCCCACAAUGAGGAAGGAAACCACAGUACUGCUCCAUUAGCCACUAAAGACAGAUGCUGUGCAGCAAACCAAGGACCAUGUGUUAUCUCUGAUAUCAGUUUAUAGCACAAUUUACCAUGCUAAUGCUUCCUAUAAAAACGGAAAUUGGGCACUUCUCCAAAACAGCACAUAAUGCAAACAUAACCUGACAAUGUUUUCAAUAGCUCCAACUAGACUCUGACUUUCUCCCUUUCUCUCUCUAGAGAAUGAUCUUUAGUGAUCUUCAUACACACUCUUCAGAUUUUAAUCUACAGGAAGUGUAAAAUGAAAAUAAGUCUGGAGAUUGCCUGUGGAGAUUUAAAAGAAAACCACAAUUCUUUAUAAGUAUUUUUGGAAGAGUAAAUCUGCAUUUAUUCAUACUGGGUGAAAUAGACAGCUGGCACUUUCUGAUUCCAAGACCAACAGAUCCCAUGGAUUUUUCUGGCUGAAAAGAAGUUAAUACUCCAGAAGUGGAAACCUACAUAGAUCCCAACAAUGAAACUUGUAUCAGAGAAGUGAAAAGAUUUUAAGUAUACUGUGAGUUUGGCUGGCAGAUUCUGAGUUCAUUUAACCAAUUGACAUCAGGUUAGUAAGCAUGUAAACAAACAUUUCAGAUUGGUUAUCUGAGAUCAAAAUUUGCCCUCCUGACAUCUGAUUAGACAAGAAUUUUUCCUCCUUUCCACAUACAGCUACUUGUUGUCUUAUGUUAUUUUAUAUGCUGGAUGCUCAUCUUCUCAAUAGUAAUUUUCAGAGGUUUUUACUUCGGAAGGAUACUUGUCCUUAGCAAUAGAUUUUGAAACACUUUGAGAAAGAAAUUCUGUAAAAAAAAUAUGUGCUUUCCCAAUAAUGACUUUCCUUAAGAAAACCCAACUCUACAGUAAUAGUACCCUUCGAUUAUAAAGUGACUUGUUCUUUAAUAAGAUUCAGAAUGUGACUGAAAUCUACAUAAUUUCUCAUUUUCUCAUCCUCUCUCUCCAUCUGUUAGCCUCUUGUCUCCUGAAGGACAAUAUCUUUGCCUUAUAUGAAGACUGCCUAAACUUCUGUAACUUAGUUGGGAAUUGCUAGGUGCUAUGUAAUAUCAAAUAAAAUUAUUAUCAUGCAA